rnacentral:rRNA from 1 species
GAUGAACGCUGGCGGCGUGCUUAACACAUGCAAGUCGAACGGGAUCCAAGGGGUGCUUGCACUUUUUGGUGAGAGUGGCGAACGGGUGAGUAACACGUGAGUAACCUGUCCUUUUCUUUGGGAUAAGCAUUCGAAAGGGUGUUUAAUACCUUAUGUUCUGUCUGCCUCGCAUGGGGUGGGUGGGAAAGGCUUUGGCCGGAUUUGGGUGGGCUCGCGGUCUAUCAGCUUGUUGGUGGGGUGAUGGCUUACCAAGGCUUUGACGGGUAGCCGGCCUGAGAGGGGGUUCGGUACAAUGGGGGGUGAGAGCCGGCGAAGCGUCCGGGGGGGGGGGGGGGGGGGGGAUAUUGCAAAAGGGGAGAAAGCUGGAGGCAGCGGGGCCGCGGGGGGGAGGAGGGCCUUGGGUUUGUAAAUUUUUGUUGUUUUAAACAGGGCAGGCAGGUGGGUGUUUGGGGGGGGGGGGUUGAUUAGCGCCGGCUAACUACGGC